rnacentral:rRNA from 1 species
AACGAACGCUGGCGGCAGGCUUAACACAUGCAAGUCGAGCGCAUCCUUCGGGGUGAGCGGCGGACGGGUGAGUAACGCGUGGGAACGUGCCCUCUUCUACGGAAUAGCCUCGGGAAACUGAGAGUAAUGCCGUAUACGCCCGCAAGGGGAAAGAUUUAUCGGAGGAGGAUCGGCCCGCGUUGGAUUAGGUAGUUGGUGGGGUAACGGCCUACCAAGCCGACGAUCCAUAACUGGUUUGAGAGGAUGAUCAGCCACACUGGGACUGAGACACGGCCCAGACUCCUACGGGAGGCAGCAGUGGGGAAUCUUGGACAAUGGGGGCAACCCUGAUCCAGCCAUGCCGCGUGAUCGAUGAAGGCCUUAGGGUUGUAAAGAUCUUUCAGCUGGGAAGAUAAUGACGGUACCAGCAGAAGAAGCCCCGGCUAACUCCGUG